UCUUUCAAAGUCUGGGUUAAUCUGGACUUUUUUCAGAAUCUUUUUAUUCUUGGUUAUACAUGAAAGUGCUGGAACCUUCCAUGAUGCUUUAAACAUGAAGCUGUCUGAGAACAAGACAGAACCUACGAUAUACAGCUAGAACUACUAAAAUCUUUCACGAUAUUGAACUUACAGAUUCUACUCCAAACAAACAACAUCUAUACAGAAUUAACCCUACAAAACAUAAAUAUUUAAAAGAGGAAAUAAAAUAUUUAUUGGACAAUGAUUUAUUGAACUGAGCAACAGUAACUUGAGUUCUCCAUGUAUUCUUGUUCCAAAACCUGACAAAUCUUAUCGCUUGUGUACAGAUUAAAAGAAAGUUAACAGCGUCACCAAAACUGAUUCAUUUCCUACGUCUAGAGUUGACGUCUGUAUUGAUAAAGUUGGACAUGCAAACUUUGUAACAACAUUUGAUUUGUAAAAAGGAUUUUGGUAAGUUCCUCUAACAGAUAAAGCUAAACAAGUUUCAGCAAUUGUUACACCUGACGGAUUAUUUCAAUACAAAGUCAUUUCAUUUGGAAUGAAAAUUUACCUGCAACGUUUCAGCGACUUGUAAAUUCAAGUAUUUCUGGACUUAAAGGAUGUGAUGGAUACAUUGACGAUGUCAUCAUAUACCAUGACACUUGGCAAAGAAAACUGCAGACAAAGGAUUUCUUGAAAAGAGUCAGUGAGGCAAAGUUGACAAUUGAUUAAUAAAAAAAAAUGAAAUUUG
rnacentral:lncRNA from 1 species